GGCCUAGUGGCAUAGUGGUUAAGAGCUUGGCUGCUAACCAAAUGGUUGGCAGUUCAAAUCUGUCAGCCG
rnacentral:tRNA from 1 species